UAACCUGCCUCUUAGCGGGGGAUAACUAUUGGAAACGAUAGCUAAUACCGCAUAAAAGUCGACAUUGCAUGAUGUUGACUUGAAAGGUGCGACUGCAUCACUAAGAGAUGGACCUGCGUUGUAUUAGCUAGUUGGUGAGGUAACGGCUCACCAAGGCGACGAUACAUAGCCGACCUGAGAGGGUGAUCGGCCACACUGGGACUGAGACACGGCCCAG
rnacentral:rRNA from 1 species